UUUGAUUAGGAAGUUUGAGGAUCA
rnacentral:miRNA from 1 species